GAGUGUGCAGGGGAUCGGGGCUGGUAAGUCCAGAGAGGUGCUCUAAGGGGUCUGUGCCGGCCUCUCGCUAACCGGGACAGAGUGAGGCCGGCGGAGGCUGGGACGGCAGAGGCUGGUGGUUUCAGGGAACCAACCCACGGCGGGGCCAGACACGACUCCGUCAUGCUGAGGGCAGGCGGCAGCGAGGUGACUCAGUCCCCUGGGCAGCGUCACUGCCCCUCGCCCCCCGUCCCCUCCCUCCACACUCACCUCUUUCAUGUCCUCAUAGAAGACGUAGAGGAUGCGGUGAUUGGCCCGUUCGGCCCAGUAUCGACAGACGUGGUCGUACCACGAGCCCCAGGCCACUGUGGGGAGAGAGGACAAGCUGACAUGACCAUCAUCCCUUGGGGCAGAGGUCACAGGAUGUGACGUUUGAUGUGGUCACCGUAUGGACUCCUGCCAGAAUGCCUUGCUGGCCUCCCCCAGCAGAUAGAGCUCCCAGGGCCCCGGCUCGGGCUGUGUCUUGUUCAUCUGGUCAAAGAAGUAAUAAGAGACCACGUUAUCCUUGGCAUUUCGGGCCACGUAGAUCACCUGGGGAAGAGAGAACAACGUGACUGAUGUUUGGGAGAAGGAGUUGAGCCGAUUGUUUUCUC